CGGGGGUCAACGUACCUGAUCAGGGCUGUCGUAGACUGUUGACUAGUCCCCGUGUCCCGUAGGGACAUUCUGACCGUAACUCCGCGUGGCGGCGUUGUCAGAGAGGCGUGGCCUCGGGAUCCGCCGCUGGCGGAAGUCCCCCGCUAGACGUAGCAGGAAGCAGCGUCAAGUAGACGUGCUUGGUAUUUUAUUGAGCGGUGUUGCGCUGAAUAAAGUACGCAGCUUGUCAGAUGAGAAAUGGGGUCAGCCAGCGGUGCGCUGUGUAGCGGAGGACGCCCCGUUUACCAAAUGAGGAGAGAAGCUCCGCCGGCGGGGUUUCGCUCAGCGGAGACUCCGUCACUUGGAAGAUGACAAGUGAGGAUCCGCUGGCGGGGUUUCGCUCAGCGGAGACUCCGUCACUUGGGAGAUGCAAGUGAGGAUCCGCUGGCGGGGUUUCGCUCAGCGGAGACUCCGUCACUUGGAAGAUGACAAGUGAGGAUCCUCUGGCGGGGUUUCGCUCAGCGGAGACUCCGUCACUUGGGAGAUGUAAGUGAGGAUCCGCUGGCGGGGUUUCGCUCAGCGGAGACUCCGUCACUUGGAAGAUGACAAGUGAGGAUCCUCUGGCGGGGUUUCGCUCAGCGGAGACUCCGUCACUUGGGAGAUGCAAGUGAGGAUCCGCUGGCGGGGUUUCGCUCAGCGGAGACUCCGUCACUUGGGAGAUGUAAGUGAGGAUCCGCUGGCGGGGUUUCGCUCAGCGGAGACUCCGUCACUUGGAAGAUGACAAGUGAGGAUCCUCUGGCGGGGUUUCGCUCAGCGGAGACUCCGUCACUGUUGGGGGGUUUACUUGUCAAGUGGUGACUUCCCUUGGAAGCCAAAGAAUGAUGACGGUGGACACGUGGUUAACUCUGAGAGGGUUAGCGUCUGGAGGCUUGCCUCCUAAGCCUAGCCGUCUUCUCGUCAUUAAUGCGAGUAAUGAUGGAUCUCGUAACCGAGGCGACGCCUCGGUUAAUCCAGGGAGUUAAUGAAGACGUGGGACACGUGUACGGUUGGUACGUGAUGUAGUUUUGUAGCGGACGGC
rnacentral:lncRNA from 1 species